AGUCCCGGAACACUCUCGGCCCUCUUCAGCCACUCCCUCCCCAACCCACACGCCAUCAACCUCCAGACCCUCUCGCCGUGGCUUAGAGGUGUCUCUGACAACGUGGCACACUGGGAAGGCCUUCUUUCCUGCUACCAAUACAAAUGCAUUCUGAAUUUGAUAUGUCAUUAAAUGUAAAAAUACAGCCAAUUUGAAACAAGCAAAUGGAAAUUCCCAGGAACCAAAAACAGAAAGAAAAAUCAGAGCUACCGCAGUGCUGUCCCUGCAGACAGAAUUUGGGAGAGGUACUCAGAGUCACCUCCUGUGAGCCUAUGCAAGCCAGCUCCUGCACAACCCUGGUUUUAGUCCAGGUAAAGGCCCGCCCAGCCUUCUGCAGAAUUCCACAUUAAACAGGAUGAAGAAUAGGUUGUUAGCAGACUGAGGUACUUGGGGCAACAUUUCGUACACAACAGGAGGGAGAAACGACUCCAGAAAAACAAUCAGAUUUUGGUGAAACUGAUGUUUGCAAGUGUGAGUGAGCCCCAUGUGCUGAAGCUUCAGGAACCCCUGAGAUGGCACAAGUUCUGCCGUACUGGGCAACGGAUGGUCUUGAAGCACACAAGACACUGGAAGACAUGAGGGCAAUUGCUACACGCCAAGCCCGGUGCCAAGCACGUUGUGCAGGUUGUUUCGUUGAUUCCGGGCCUGGCCUUUGAGAUCUGUGGAGGAUACCAUGAACUGGCUGGCUCUGCAUCCUGCUUGCAGGCGCUGGCAAGCUGGAACCUGCUUUUCUACGCCACACUGCAGAGGGCCCUGAAUGUGAUCUAUGAUUGCAACAAGCAGCCCUGAUGCGGAUCCGGAGGGCAGGGAUGACGUGGGGGCUGCCUUUCUGGUUGACCUGCUGGUAAGCAUGGCCUCAUGGAUCUAUCACCAACAGCACCCAGUCACUUGGGGAGGCCGAGUGGCAGGGCUGGGGCAUCCAUCAGGGUUUGAUUUUGCUUAUGUGGACCGGCAGGUGCAGCACAGCUGCAUUUUAGUGCAGGGCUUCCUGAUCCUGCUGCACAGCUAACACCGUUCUUCCCGAAGGCAGCAGCUCCCCCACGGGGCUGUUUCCCCAGUUCUGGGCAUCAGUCCCAGAGGCAAAGACGGGAGCCAUCCACUCUGACUCUGCCAACAAUUCUGUGAGCACCCAGUUCUCUGUAUGAAAUUCCUUUCUGCUUUAGAUAAUUAAAAUAACUUUUCUUCCCCUGCAA
rnacentral:lncRNA from 1 species